UGUCCUUAUAUAUCCAGUCCUCCCUGUUCCGUAUAUUUUAUAUUAUAUACUUUAUACUAAAUUAGAUUUUCAAUUUGUACCCGGGCAGCGGCACUAGGCUCAAACGGGACCGGUUUUCGGCUUGCGUGGUACAAUGCCUUCCGCCACGCACUCGAUAGAUCUAUCACCACGCACUCGAUAGACAACCAUUGGACCCACUGCUCCAGCCAAAAUCACCACCUCAGUCCUACUCGUUCCGUUCAGCAAGCACCGUUUCGUUUCGGCAAUUUGAGAGCUGUAUAAGUACUUCGCCGAAAUCCUCAUCAAUCUUACUAAUAUUCUCCCUCCUUGGCUCUCUCUUUUUCCUGCUCAACUUCAUCAUUAUAGACUCUCAGUCUGCAUUUUAGUAGACUUCUCGAUGGCAAUCUAUUCACUCCUGCUCGAUGCCUAACAAACAUUGGUCUGGUGACUCUGAUGAAUCAGAGACAGAGAGCGGGAGGAGCCUUUCCAGCUGUCACACUGCAGAUACAGAUAUCACCAAGCC
rnacentral:lncRNA from 1 species